GCCGAUGUAUUUCAAUUGGCUAGAAUGUCCGGCUUUUAAUUAUGUGUACACUUACAAAUUGUAAGUUUACCACCAUUAAAAGAAAACCCGAAACAUACAGUUACCGGAAGGUUCUGGGUUCGAGUCCCAGCAUCGGCG
rnacentral:tRNA from 1 species